UAACUACUCUAAGUUCAUCUUUAUAUAAGAACAAGUUUAGCAAAUCUUAUAUAAAAUUUUUAUUGUUCAUACAGAUCAACAUAUUUAUUAUUUCAAUUAUAUAUACACUUUAAUUGAUCAUGUUGAUCUAAAGGAUUAUCAAAUUUUUCUUAUAUAAGAACAAGCUUUUAAUGACCACUACAAACAGUGCAUUUUUGGUUCUGGAAGACCAAUGGACAAUUCAGUCUCCACCUCUGAAUUCUUCCCAUUUAAGCUUAAGUAUGUCACAGCUUCUUUCUGUUGAGUUGGAUGCGGCCAUGGCUUCUCACCACACUAUACACAUCAUGAUGCCAAAUUAAUAUCAACAAACUGUAUCCAAUUGGACACUUCGAUGGAGGAUAAAUAAAAGAUUCUUUUCCGAAUAAUAAGGCCUAAAUCAAUGCUCAUAGGGUUAGGGUUUUCCACAACUAUAAAUUAAGCUAAAUUUUAAAAACAAGCAUAAAUGUGCACCUUUACACGCAAACUUGCAUUCUCUUCCAGCAAGAGCCUUUCCUGCGCUUUUAGUUGCUCUAUCUUCUCCUUGAACAACUCAGCCUGUAUCAUAAGCCAUUUUAAGUAUUAUAUUGGCUUUGAAUCAGUUAAUUUAACAUGCAUCAGCCAAGCCAGAAGAAGAAGAUUCAGAUACCUUCCUUUCUUUGAUAUUGCUUAAGCCUUUCUCUAGCUGGUUGUGUAUCUCUUGGAGCUCUUCCACAGAACAAGAAGUCAAACCUUGUCCCAAAAACUUCCUAAUUAAUACACGCCAUUUUCAAAUUUUAGUUCCUAAGGUCUAUCAUUCAGGCCAGGUCAAGUGUUAUUCUACAAGCUCAAGACUGAGAGGAUUAAGUCUCAAACCAAAAUACACACCCCUGCGAAAUUUUGAGUUGCUCGAUCUUCUUCACCAUCUCUGUGGAUUCGCUAAUUUGUUGCUGAAUGCGUUGUUCUGUAUCAACGCUGUCAGCUUGCACCUUAUCUUUUGCAUUUCUACGGUACCGUUCUAUGGUCUUUUCCAUGCUGAAGCAUCGAACCACAAGAUGUAAUCGUUACGUAGUAAAAGAACAAGAAAAAGACAACAGAAGAUAACCACAGCGCAAAAUAGCUUUUGUAUCAUUAUAAACAUUAAGGCUUAGGUUUCCUUUCUCAAAUACGAGCGAGAGCCAGUGAAAGUGUUUCUGCGAUAUUCAUAAUUAGCAUUUCAAUCUUUGCAUAAAAGAACUAUCUAGACUUGUCAGUAUAGAUAUCUAACAUGAAAACAAAUUAUGUACAAACCCAAUUAUUCUAACUCAUCUCAACUCAAUUCAACUAAGCCUUCAACCCAAAAAUUUAUUAGGGUCGGCU
rnacentral:misc_RNA from 1 species